CUGGGUGUGGCGCAGUUUGGUAGCGUGCUUGAAUGGGGUUCAAGAGGUCGGGGGUUCAAAUCCCUUCACCCAGACCA
rnacentral:tRNA from 1 species